rnacentral:lncRNA from 1 species
GACUGUUCUCUCUACUACUGCAUGGCAAGCGAUACCGGAGUGCCAAGUCUAGGACAAAAAGGCUUCUCAAUAGUUUUUACCCCCAAGCCAUAAGACUCCUGAUCAGGUAAUCAAAUGGCUACCCACACUAUUUGCAUUGUGUGCCCCCAACCCCUCUUUUACGCUGCUGCUACUCUCUGUUUAUCAUAUAUGCAUUGUCACUUUAACUAUACAUUCAUGUACAUACUACCUCAAUUAGCCCGACUAACCGGUGCCCCCACACAUUGGCUACCUGGACAAUCUGCAUUGUGUCCCGCUACCCACCACCCGCCAACCCCUCUUUUACCCUACUUCUACUCUCUGUUUAUCAUAUAUGCAUAGUCACUUUAACCAUACCUACAUGUACAUACUACCUCAAUCAGCCUGACUAACCGGUGCCUGUAUAUAGCCUCGCUACUGUUAUAGCCUCGCUACUGUUAUUUUUCACUGUCUUUUUACUGUUGUUUUUAUUUCUUUACUUAUCUAUUGUUCACCUAAUACCUUUUUUUAACUUAAAAAUUGCACUGUUGGUUAGAGCCUGUAAGUAAGCAUUUCACUGUAAGGUCUACACCUGCUAUAUUCAGCGCACGUGACAAAUAAACUUUGAUUUGAUUUGAUUUAGUAGUUCUAGUGUAGAGAGAGGAGAAAGGCUGGGUAGUUUGUGUGUAGAGAGAGGAGAAAGGCUGGGUAGGUUGUGUGUAGAGAGAGGAGAAAGGCUGGGUAGUUAUAUUGUAGAGCGAGGAGGCAGGCUGGGUAGUUCUAUUGUAGAGAGAGGAGAAAGGCUGGGUAGUUAUAUUGUAGAGCGAGGAGGCAGGCUGGGUAGUUCUAUUGUAGAGAGAGGAGAAAGGCUGGGUAAUUCUAGUAUAGAGAGAGGAGGUUGGGUAGUUCUAGUGUAGAGAGACAAGGCAGGCUGGGUAGUUAUAUUGCAGAGAGAGGAGAACGGCUGUGUAGUUCUAGUGUAGAGAGAGGAUAAAGGCUGGGUAAUUCUAGUGUAGAGAGAGGAGGCAGGCUGGGUAGUUCUAUUGCAGAGAGAGGAGAACGGCUGGGUAGUUCUAGUAUAGAGAGAUGAGGCGAAAGGCUGGUUAGUUCUAGAGUAUAGAAAGCAGGCAGGCUGGGUAGUUAUGGUGUAGAGAGCGGAGAAAGGCUGGGUAGUUAUAGUGCAGAGAGAGGAGGCAUGCUGGGUUGUUCUAUUGCAGAGAGAGGAGAAAGUCUGGGUAGUUCUAGUGUAGAGAGAGGAGGCUGGGUGUUUAUAGAUUAGAGAGUCGAGUCUGGGUAGUUCUAGUAUAGAGAGAGGAGUCUGUGUAGUUAUAGUGUAGAGAGAGGAGAUGGGGAAUUAUAGUGUAGAGAAGGCUGGGUAUUUGUGGUGUACAGUGAGGAGGCUGGGCAGUUAUAGUGUAAAGGAGGCUGGGUAGUUAUAGUGUAGAGAGAGGAGGCUGGGUAAUUAUAGUGUAAAAGAGGCCGGGUAGUUGUGGUGUAGAGAGAGGAGGGUGUGUAGUUAUAGUGUAGAGAGAGGAGGCUGGGUAGUUAUAGUGUAAAGGAGGCUGGGUAGUUGUAGUGUAGAGAGAGGAGGCUGGGUAGUUAUAGUGUAGAAGAGGCUGCAUAGUUAUAGUGUAGAGAGAGGAGGCUGGAUAGCUAUAGUGUAGAUGAGGCUGGGUAGUUAUAUUGUAGAGAGAGGAGACUGGGUAGUAAUUGUGUGGAGUGAGGAGGCUGGGUAGUUCUAUUGUAGAGAUAGGAGAAAGACUGGGUAGUUUUAGUGUAGAGAGAGGAGGUUGUGGAGUUCUAGCGUAGAGAGAGAAGGCUGUGUAGUUCUAUUGUAGAGAUAGGAGAAAGGCUGGGUAGUUUUAGUGUAGAGAGAGGAGGCUGGGUAGAUCUAGUGUAGAGAGAGGAGGCUGGGUAGUUCUAGUGUAGAGAGAGGAGGCUGUGGAGUUCUAUUGUAGAGGGAGGAGGCUGAGUUGUUCUAGUGUAGAGAGAGGAGGCUGGGUAGUUGUAGUGAAGAGAGAGGAGACUGGGUAGUUGUAGUGAAGAGAGAGGAGGCUGGGUAGUUGUAUUAUAGCGAGGAGAAGCUGGGUAGUAUAAGUAUAGAGAGAGGAUACUGGGUAGUUACAAUAUAGGGAGAGGAGGCUGGGUAAUUGUAGUGUAGAAAGAUUAGGCAGGUAGUUCUAUUGUAUAGAGAGCAGGGUUGCUGGGAAGAUCCAGUGUAGAGAGAGGAGAAAGCCUGGGUAGUUCAGUGUAGAGAGAGGAGGCAUGCUGGGUAGUUCUGUUGCAGAGAGACGAGAAAGGCUGGGACGUUCUAGUGUAGAGAGAGGAGGCUGGGUAAUUCUAGUGUAGAGAGAUGAGGCUGGGUAGUUAUAGUAUAGAGAGGGGAGGCUGGGUAGUUCUAGUACAGAGAGAGGGGAAAGGCUGGGUAGUUCUAGUGCAGAGAGAGGAGAAAGGCUGUGUAGUUCUAGUGUAGAGAGAGGAGGCUGGGUAGCUCUAGUGUAGAGAGAUGAAAAUAGCUGGGUUGUUCUAUUGUAGAGAGUGAAGAAAGGCUGGGUAGUUCUAGUGUAGAGAGAAGAGGCUGGGUAGUUUUAGUGUAGAGAGAGGAGGCUGGGUAGUCCUAGUGUAGAGAGAUUUAAAAGGCUGGGUUUGCAUAGUGUAGAGAGAGGAGGCUGUGUAGUUCUCGUGUACAGAAAGGAGGCAGGCUGGGUAUUUCUGGUGUAGAGAGAGGAGAAAGCCUGGGUAGUUCUAGUGUAGAGAGAGGAGAAAGGCUGGGUAGUUCUAGCAUAGAGAGAGGAGGAUGGAUAAUUCUAGUAUAGAAAGAGGAGAAAGGCUGGGUAGUUCUAGCAUAGAGAGAGGAGGAUGGGUAAUUCUAGUAUAGAAAGAGGAGAAGGCUGGGUAAUUCUAGUGUGGAGAGAGGAGGCUGGGUAGUUAUAGUGUAGCGAGAGGAGGCAGGCUGGGUAGUUCUAUUGUAGAGAGAGGAGAAUAGCUGGGUAGUUCUAGUGUAGAGAGAGUUGAAAGGCUGGGUUGGUAUAGUGUAGAGAGAGGAGGCUAGGUAGUUGUAGUAUAAAGGAGGCUGGGAAGUUCUAGUGUAGAGAGAGGAGGCUGGGUAGAUCUAGUGUAGAGAUAGGAGGCUGGGUAGUUCUAGAGUGGGGAGAGGAGGCUGGGUAGUUCUAGUGUAGAGAAAGUAGAAAGGCUGGAUAGUUCUAGUAUAGAGAGAGGAGAAAGCCUGGGUAGUUCCAGUGUAGAGAGAGGAGAAAGACUGGGUAGGUCUAGUGUAGAGAGAGGAGGAUGGGUAAUUCUAGAAUAGAAAGAGGAGAAGGCUGGGUAGUUAUAGUGUAGCGAGAGGAGGAUGGGUAAUUCUAGUUUAGAGAGAGGAGGCUGGGUAGUUCUAGUGUAGAGAGAGGAGGCUGGGUAGUUCUAGAGUGGGGAGAGGAGGCUGGGUAGUUCGAGUGUAGAGAGAGGAGAAAGGCUGGGUAGUUCUAGUGUAGAAAGAGGAGGCUGGGUAGUUCUAGUGUAGAAAGAGGAGGCUGGGUAGUUAUAGUGUAGAGAGAGGAGGAAGGCUGUGUUGUUCUAGUGUAGAGAGAGUUGAAAGGCUGGGUAGGUAUAGUGUAGAGAGAGGAGGCUAGGUAGUUGUAGUUUAGAGAGAGGAGGCUGUGUAGUUGUAGUGUAGAGGAGGCUGGGAAGUUCUAGUGUAGAGAGAGAAGGCUGGGUUGAUCUAGUGUAAAGAGAGGAGGCUGGAUAGUUCUAGAGUGAGGAGAGGAGUCUGGGUAGUUCUAGUGUAGAGAGAGGAGGCUGGGUAGUUGUAGUGUAGAGAGAGGAGGCUGGAUAGUUCUAGUGUAGAAAGAGGAGGCUGGGUAGUUCAAGUGUAGAGAUAGGAGGCUGGGUAGUUCUAGAGUGGGGAGAGGAGGCUGGGUAGUUCUAGUGUAGAGGGAGGAGAAAGGCUGGGUAGUUCUAGUGUAGAAAGAGGAGGCUGGGUAGUUCUAGUGUAGAGAGAGGAGAAAGGCUGGGUAGUUCUAGUGUAGCGAGAGGAGGCUGGGUAAUUCUAGUUUAGAAAGAGGAGAAGGCUGGGUAGUUAUAAUAUAGCGAGAGGAGGAAGGCUGGGUAGUUGUAUUGUAGAGAGAGGAGAAAGGCUGGGUUGUUCUAGUGUGGAGAGAGUUGAAAGGCUGGGUAGGUAUAGUGUAGAGAGAGGAGGCUAGGUAGUUCUAGAGUGGGGAGAGAAGGCUGGGUAGUUCUAGUGUAGAAAGAGGAGGCUGGGUAGUUCUAGUGUAGAAAGAGCAGGCUGGGUAGUUCUAGUGUAGAGGGAGGAGAAUGUCUGGGUAGUUCUAGUGUAGAGAGAGGAGAAAGGCUGGGUAGUUCUAGUGUAGAAAGAGGAGGCUGGGUAGUUCUAGUGUAGAAAGAGGAGGCUGGGUAGUUCUAGUGUAGAAAGGGGAGGCUGGGUAGUUCUAGUGUAGAGGGAGGAGAAUGUCUGGCUAGUUCUAGUGUAGAAAGAGGAGGCUGGGUAGUUCUAGUGUAGAGAGAGGAGGAUGGGUAGUUCUAAUAUAGCAUGAGGAGGAAGGCUGGGUAGUUCUAUUGUAGAGAGAGGAGAAAGGCUGGGUUGUUCUAGUGUGGAGAGAGUUGAAAGAGUGGGUAGGUAUAAUGUAGAGAGAGGAGGCUAGGUAGUUGUAAUUUAGAGAGAGGAGGCUGUGUAGUUGUAGUGUAGUGGAGGCUGGGAAGUUCUAGUGUAGAGAGAGGAGGCUGGGUAGAUCUAGUGUAGAGAGAGGAGGCUGGGUAGUUCUAGAGUGGGGAGAGGAGGCUGGGUAGUUCUAGUGUAGAGAGAGGAGAAAGGCUGGAUAGUUCUAGUAUAGAGAGAGGAGAAAGCCUGUGUUGUUCUAGUGUAGAGAGAGGAGGAUGGGUAAUUCUAGAAUAGAAAGAGGAGAAGGCUGGGUCGUUUUUGUGUAGCGAGAGGAGGCAGGCUGGGUAGUUCUAGUGUAGAGAGAGGAGGCUGGGUAGUUCUAGUGUAGAGAGAGGAGGCUGGGUAGUUCUAGAGUGGGGAGAGGAGGCUGGGUAGUUCUAGUGUAGAGAGAGGAGAAAGGCUGGGUUGUUCUAGUGUAGAAAGAGGAGGCUGGGUAGUUCUAGUGUAGAGAGAGGAGAGAGGCUGGGUAGUUCUAGUGUAGAGAGAGGAGGAUUGGUAAUUGUAGUUUAGAAAGAGGAGAAGGCUGGGUAGUUAUAAUGUAGCAAGAGGAGGAAGGCUGGGUAGUUCUAUUGUAGAGAGAGGGGUCUGGGUAGUUGUAGUUUAGAGAGAGGAGGAUGUGUAGUUGUAGUGUAGAGGAGGCUGGGAAGUUCUAGUGUAGAGAGAGGAGGCUGGGUAGGUUAGUGUAGAGAUCGAAGGCUGGGUUGAUCUAGUGUAGAGCGAGGAGGCUGUAUAGUUCUAGAGUGGGGAGAGGUGGCUGGGUAGUUCUAGUGUAGAGAGAGGAGAAAGGCUGGAUAGUUCUGGUAUAGAGAGAUGAGGACUAAGACUGGGUAAUUAUAGUGUAGAGGAGGCUGAGUUGUUAUAGUGUAUAGGAUGCUGGGUAUUUUAGGUGUACAGUGAGGAGGCUGGGUAGUUAUAGUGUAAAGGAGGCUGGGUAGUUGUAGUGUAGAGAGAGAAGGCUGGGUAGUUGUAGUGUAGAGGAGGCUGGGUAUUUGAGGUGUACAGUGAGGAGGCUGGGAAGUUAUAGUGUAAAGGAGGCUGGGAAGUUAUAGUGUAAAGGAAGGGGGUAGUUGUAUUGUAGAGAGAGGAGGCUGGGUAGUUGUAGUGUAGAGGAGGCUGGGUAGUUCUAGUGCAGAGAUUGGAGGCCGGGUAGUUACUGUAUAGAGAGAGGAGGCUGGGUAGUCUUAUUAUAGUGAGGAGCAGCUGGGUAGUUUAAGCAUAAAGAGAGGAGGCAGGGUAGUUGCAAAAUAAGGUGAGGAGGCUUGGUAGUUCUAGUGUAGAGAGAUGAGUAAGGCUGGGUAGUUCUAUUGUAUAGAGACCAGGGAGGCUGGGAAGUUCUAGUGAAGAGAGAGGAGGCUGGGUAGUUCUAUUGUAGAAAGAGAAGGCUGGGUUGUUCUAGUGUAGAGAGAGGAGGCUGGGUAGGUUAGUGUAGAGAGAAGAGGCUGGGUAGUUCUAGUGUAGAGAGAGGAGGCUGGGUAGUUCUAGUGUAGAGAGAUGAGGCUGGGUAGUUAUAGUGUAGAGAGAGGAGGACAGGUAAUUUUAAUAUAGAGAGAGAAGGCUGGGUAGUUUUAUUGUAGAAAGAGAACGCUGGGUAGUUAUAGUGUAGAGAGAGGAGGAAGGGUAAUUUUAAUAUAUAGAGAGAAGGCUGGGUAGUUCUAUUGUAGAAAGAGAAGGCUGGGUAGUUCUAUUGUAGAAAGAGAAGGCUGGGUUGUUCUAAUGUAGAGAGAGGAGGCUGGGUAGUUCUAGUGUAGAGAGGAGGCUGGUAGUUCUACUGUAGAAGGAGAAGGCUGGGUAGUUUUAGUAUAGAGAGAUGAGGAUGGGUAGUUCUAAUGUAGAGAGAGGAGAAAGACUGGGUAAUUCUAGUGUGGAGAGAGGAGAAAGGCUGGGUAGUUCUAGUAUAGAGAGAGGAGGCUGGGUAGUUCUAAUUUAGAGAGAGGAGAAAGGCUGGGUAGUUCUAUUGUAGAGAGAGGAGGCAGGCUGGGUAGUUCUAGUAUAGAGAGAGGAGGCUGGGUAGUUCUAGUAUAGAGAGAUGAGUAGUAAGACUGGGUAGUUCUAGUAUAGAGAGAGGAGGAGGCUGGGAAGUUCUAGUAUAGAGAGAGGAGAAAGGCUGGGUAGUUCUAGUGUAGAGAGAGGAGGCUGGGUAGUUCUAGUGUAGAGAGAAGAGAAAGGCUGGGUAGUUCUAGUGUAGAGAGAGGAGGCAGGCUUGGUAGUUCUAGUAUAGAGAGAUGAGUAGUAAGACUGGGUAGUUCUAGAAUAGAGAGAGGAGGAGGCUGGGAAGUGCUAGUAUAGAGAGAGGAGAAAGGCUGGGUAGUUCUAGUGUAGAAAGAGGAGGCUGGGUAGUUCUAGUGUAGAGAGAGGAGUAGUAAGACUGGGUAGUUCUAGUGUAGAGAGAGGAGGCUGGCUAGUUCUAGUGUAGAGAGAGGAGUAGUAAGACUGGGUAGUUCUAGUGUAGAGAGAGGAGGCUGGCUAGUUCUAGUGUAGAGAGAUGAGUAGUAAGGCUGGGUAGUUCUAGUGUAGAGAGAGGAGUAGUAAGACUGGGUAGUUCUAGUGUAGAGAGAGGAGGCUGGCUAGUUCUAGUGUAGAGAGAUGAGUAGUAAGGCUGGGUAGUUCUAGUGUACAGAGAGGAGGUAGGGUAGUUCUAGUAUAAAGAGAUGAGGAGAAAGGCUGGGUAGUUCUAGUGUAGAGAGAGGAGGCUGGGUAGUUGUAGUAUAGAGAGAGGAGAAAGGCUGGGUCGUUCUAGUGUAGAGAGAGGAGGUUGGCUGCAUAGUUCUAUUGUAGACAGAGGAGGCAGGCUGGGUUGUUCUAGAACAGAGAGAGGAGAAAGGCUGGGAAGUUCUAGUGUAGAGAGAAGAGGAGAAAGGCUGGGUAGUUCUAGCGUAGAGAGAGGAGGCUGGGUAGUUCUAGUAUAGAGAGAUGAGUAGUAAGACUGGGUAGUUCUAGUGUAGAGAGAGGAGAAAGGCUGGGUAGUUCUAGUGUAGAGAGAGGAGGUAGGCUGCAUAGUUCUAUUGUAGAGAGGAGAAAGGAUGGUAUAUGUUGUGGAGGCUGGGUAGUUGUAGUGUAGAGAGAGGAGGCUGUGGAGUUCUAGUGUAGAGAGAGGAGGCUGGGUAAUUCUAUUGUAAAGAGAUGAGUCUGGGUAGUUGUAGUAUAGAGAGAGGAGGAUGGAUAGUUCUAUUGUAAAGAGAAGGCUGGGUAGUUGUAGUAUAUAGAGAGGAGGCUGUGUAGUUCUAUUGUAAAGAGAAGCCUGGGAAGUUGUAGUAUAGAUAGAGGAGGAUGGGUAGUUCUAGUGUAGAGAGAGGAGGCUAGGUAGUUAUAUUGUAGAGGAGGCUGGGUAUUUGUGGUGUAGAGUGAGGAGGCUGGGUAUUGAUAGUGUAGAGGAGACUGUGUAGUUCUAGUGUAGGUAGAUGUCACGUCCUGACCAUAGUAAGCUGUUAUUUUCUAUGGUAGAGUAGGUCAGGGCGUGACAGGGGGGUUUUCUAGUUUAGUUUUUCUAUGUUGUUAUGUUCUAGUUUUGUAUUUCUAUGUUGGGUUGUUCUAGUUUUGUAUGUCUAUGUUGGACUGUGUUUGGGAUGAUCUCCAAUUAGAGGCAGCUGGUCAUCGUUGUCUCUAAUUGGAGGUCAUAUUUAAGUUGAUGUUUGUCCCACAUGGAUUUGUGGGAGAAUAAUUUUGAGUAGUGUAUGUUUCACCUCUUCGUCACGGUUUGUUGUUUUUGUCAUUACGUUUAUUUAUGUAUUGCAUAGUUUCACAGUAUAAAUACAAUUUGGAACGACACACACGCUGCACUUUGGUCCGCUCCUCUCUACGACAAAAUCUCCCACCACAAAAGGACCAAGCUGCGUGCCCAGGAGGAGCAGGGAUCCUGGGCCAGGGAAAGGAGAGAGUGGAGGACAUCCUGGACAUGGGAGGAGGUAAUGGCAGGGGACAAGACCCUGCCAUGGAAGCAGGUGGAGACAGCGAGGGAGGAAUGGCAACGUUACGAGGAACAGUCACGGCAACGACGGAAGCACGAGAG